UCCUCCCUCAAACCCCGGGUUUGGUGUUGGACCCAAGUUGUGCAUCUGAACAACUGGUCUCAAAGACAAUGACGGCGUCCGUGGGACCCUCGGUGCAACGAGCUUCUAAGGAGCACGCGUCGAGUUUCAAGGUCCUUCCGGGCCGGUCUCCUUUACAUAUUUAAUCACAA
rnacentral:misc_RNA from 1 species